CAGGGGCGGCCUCGGAGGCGGAGGGGGGCGGCAGGAGGGGAAGGAGAUGCCCCAGCCUGCCCUUCCCUCCCUCACGUGUCAGGGGACCGGGGUCGUGCCCCUCCGCCCAGGGUCGCCCCGGACCGGAUUCAUAUCGCACACCCAAAGGGAACACGGGCUGGGCUUGGAGUUCUGCCCUGGGGCUGACCGCGGCCUGACCCCAGUUCCCCGGGGUCGCACCCUGCUUCUGGGGACCUGCGCAGAGCCACCCGGAAGGAGCUGUGCGUCUGCUCGGAAGCCCUGGACCGGGCUCAGAUCCCCCAGCUCCCCACGACCUUGUCAGGGGUGGCCGGCCUGGUGCUGGGUCGCCACAAAGCCUGCUGUGGUGCACCAGGCCAGCUGUGUGUGUGGGGGGGAGGCUCCUGGGGGAAGCGGAGCCCAGGGCAGGACAGGGGUCGGAACCAGACCACACUGUUGGAAACACUGCAGCUGCCUGUUCUCAUGACCCAGGUCACCAGUGGGCAGGGGCUCCCUGCACCCCUCCGUAUUUAUGCCCCGGGAAGGCAGCCCAGAGAGCCAAGGUGGCAGGGCCCCCGUGUCCCUCCGGCUGGCUUGAGUACCCAGCCUUGCAACCCGUGUUUCCAGGGAGAGGAACUAAACCUUUUAUUCUUGUGAUUUCCCAGGUUCAGGGAGGGGAGCCUCUGGAGUAGAGCUGGAAUGUGAACGUGGUGCAGCAUACAGAACAUCCUAAGUGUUGACCCGCACGGAAGCUUCAUCUUGGUUGAGCCUUUAAAGUGCCCGCAUGGAGUGGGUAAAGGACAGCAUCAAAGGCCCUCGGGUAAGAGAUGCUCUCGGGAGGCUGCAGGAAAUACCAUGGCCAAAGUGAGGUGGCGCAGGAGGGCGGCUCCGCAGGAUGUGCAAACAGCGCCGCUGGUGCAGAAGACCAGGGGAGAUGGCUGGGACCCGUGCUGUGACUCCGGGUCACCGACGCGGUGGAUGUACAGAGGACAAAAUGAGACGUCUGUGCUGCUUGGAAAACGUGAGGGCUGAUUCCAAAGCUGAGGUAAUUCGAGAGGAAAUGAAUUCCCCUGAGUGCAAAGCUGGCCCGAGCAGCACCCUGCUGGCGUCCUGCUCAUUAUGGCGCCAUGAGUCCUUUGUGCGACUUUGUGGCUCUCACAGCCCCCGAGGCCCAUGGUGAGGCCCGUGGUGAGGCACGAGGAAGUUACCACCACAAAUGGGGCUCUGGGGGUGCACGGCCAAGCAGAAAUACGAGGGAGAAUUCGCAGGUAGUAUCAUCUGCUUAUCGUGAAGGAAUCAGUAUGAGAGGGGAGACUGCAGGGGAGAGGCUGGGCUUCUCCCUGCCAGCCGGCCCUCGGUCCCCAGCGCAGGAGCACAUUCCCCCAGCACACAACCCCAGCACACACUCCCGGUGCACGAGACAUGCUCCCAGCACACGAGCACAGGCCUCCAACAUGCAAGCACACACCCCCAGCACACACUCCGAGCGCACAAGCACACGCCCCCAGCACACGCCCCCAGCACACGCCCCCAGCACAUGAGCACAGGCCUCCAGCAUGUGAGCACAUGCUCCCAGCACACAACCGCAGCACACACUCCGAGCGCACGAGCACACACCUCCAGCACGCGAGCACAUGCCCCUAGCACACAACCCCAGCACACGCUCCCAGCGCACGAGCACACGCUCCCAGCACCCCAGUGCACACUCCCAGCACAUGCCCCAGGCCUCAGCUCCAGUGAGUUCUGAGGUUGGUCCCGACAGGUGUGAGUUGAAGUCUGCCUGCGGGUUCCAAAUCAGUUGUUGAGAUUUCUCCCAGCACCCGCGAGGCUGUGACGGUGGCAUCUGUGCCCUCCCCUUGGAGUCCUACAGAGCUGUCCCCGUCGGUCACUGUGCCCGGUGGCCAGCCUAGGGAGGCCCCUCUGCCUUCCAGAUGGUCCCCGUUUCUCCUUGUGUUUGAAACUACCAUUUGAGAUUAAAUCCUUUACGUAAAUGUACUGCUCUUGCAAAAAAGUCUCUGCGCCCCUGCCUGAUCAUCCUUUCUGCUGUCCAGCCCAGGUAGUACUUACCAUCGUGGGAUGGCCCACAAACGCUGACAGUGGUAGCAGGGUCUCAGUGUGACAUGCGGGACGUCACCGGUCAGUAUUUUAGCCUCUGUUUGCCCUCCCAGGACAUAGACACUUUUUACUCCACUGGCUUAUAAAGAUUGAGGAAGUGUAAUCAUUUACAAACAAAACAAAGUCUAAGCUAAUUAAAACAUUUAUUUUGAGGGACACCUGGGUGGCUCAGUCAGUUUAGUGUCUGACUUUUUAUCUCAGUUCAGGUCAUGAUCUCACAGUUCAUGAGAUCAAGCCCCACGUUGGGCUCUGUGCUGACAGCUUGGAGCCUGCUUGGGAUUCUCUCUCUCCCUCUCUCUCUGCCCCUGCCCCCUUGUGCUCCCUCUCUCUCACUCAAAAUAAAUAUUUUUUAAAAACA